rnacentral:rRNA from 1 species
ACAUGCUUACAACAUAGUGUUAAUGCAUGGGAUCCCAUUAGAACUCUGCAGUUAAGCAUGCUUGGGCUAUAUUAGUACUGGGAUGGGUCACCGCCUGAGAAGUCCUACUAUUUUUCAUGCC